GAAGGAGAAGUCGUAACAAGGUUUCCGUAGGUGAACCUGCGGAAGGAUCAUUGUCGAAACCUGCCCAGCAGAAAGACCCGCGAACAUGUUCACCUCGACGUGCGGGGAGGGGUGCCUCGGCCCCCCGCCCCGAGCCGGGAGCAACCCCCGGCGCAGCAACGAAACCCCGGCGCGAACCGCGCCAAGGAACACGAACUCAUGGCGUGCCCGCCCGCGCCCGGUCCGCCGGCGCGCGGGGGCGGCACCUGUCCCUACUUAGAAACGUAACGACUCUCGGCAACGGAUAUCUCGGCUCUCGCAUCGAUGAAGAACGUAGCGAAAUGCGAUACUUGGUGUGAAUUGCAGAAUCCCGUGAACCAUCGAGUCUUUGAACGCAAGUUGCGCCCGAAGCCUUCCGGCCGAGGGCACGUCUGCCUGGGCGUCACGCAUCGCGCCUCCCCCCCGCCCGCCGGGGGGGAAGGAUGAUGGCCUCCCGYGCCCCCAGCCGGGGCGCGGCUGGCCCAAAACGGGAGCCCGCGGGGACGCGCUGCGGCGGCGACUGGUGGUGGACGAGGCCUUGAGUGGCCACCGUUUGCAUCGCGCCGCGCACGCACGCCGCCGGGAGGGGCUCGUCGGACCCUAAGGUGUGCUGAAGGCACAAAACCGUUGCGACCCCAGGUCAGGCGGGGCUACCCGCUGAGUUU
rnacentral:rRNA from 1 species